AUGGUUAUCGCAUGUGCACGCGCUGUGCAGUGCGGCUCGCAGGCUGGCGGGGCGACAUGCCCAAACUGCCUCUGUUGUAGCCACUUCGGCUGGUGCGGCUCCACACCGGAAUACUGUGGCGAUGGUUGCCAGAGCCAUUGCUCUGGCUGCGGCAGCACGCCUGUCACACCCUACCCCUUCGGUGGUGUGUCCUCCAUCGUCUCCCGCUCCCUUUUCAACCAAAUUCUCCUCCACCGUAAUGACCCAGCAUGCCAGGCCAAGGGCUUCUACACAUAUGACGCCUUCAUCGCUGCCGCCGCUGCCUUCCCUGGCUUUGGUACCACUGGUGGCAUCGCCACCCGGAAGCGCGAGAUAGCUGCCUUCCUAGCGCAGACCUCCCAUGAGACCACUGGCGGAUGGCCCACAGCCCCGAAUGGGCCCUACACAUGGGGCUACUGCUACAAGCACGAGCGCACUACCUCCAGCUACUGCACCCCAAGCGAGCAGUGGCCAUGUGCCCCUCGAAGGCGCUACUAUGGCCGCGGGCCCAUCCAGCUAACUCACAACUACAACUACGGGCAGGCAGGACGGGCCAUUGGGGCUGACCUGUUGGGCAACCCGAACUUGGUGGUCGUGAAUCCAACCGUGUCUUUUGAGACGGCGAUGUGGUUCUGGAUGACGGAGCAACCGCCCAAGCCUUCGAGCCAUGCAGUGAUCACAGGACAAUGGAACCCGUCGGCGACAGACCGUGCUGCGGGGCGGGUGCCUGGGUUCGGCGUGAUCACCAACAUCAUCAAUGGCGGGAUCGAGUGCUUUCACGGGUAUGAUGAACGUGUUGAGGACCGAAUCGGAUUUUACAAACGCUACUGCAACAUCUUUGGUAUCGGCUAUGGUGACAACCUGGACUGCUACAAACAGAGGCCCUUUGCCUAA
rnacentral:rRNA from 1 species